CAGGGGGUAGUUUAAAUCAAAAUAUUAACUUUGGGAGUUAUUGAUAAAAUCUUUUUUUUCCUCUGA
rnacentral:tRNA from 1 species